GCCAGCGUUUACGAUAGAAAUUCCUCAUACACGGUAUUAUCCCAAACGCCAAAGCGACCGUUAUACACCUGAAUCUGACGCGUCAGCCGACUAACGCCGCCACCGGGACCGCAGAAGUUCCUCCUACCACAGCUACGAUGAGCGUCACCUAUCGUGGACGCUUUCGCUCUGGCUCACCCGAGUAUUCAAGUCCCGCAAGAAAAAGCCCAAGCCCUGGGCCAAGGAAAACAUAUUCUUCGCUGGAAAAGUUCGGAAGGGGGAGCCCCUACCUCGAUCUUGGAGGCUCUCGUAAUGGAAGGAAUUCUAAGCCCAGGGAUACAGGAUCACAUGAUUCCCGGUAUAGGAAGAAGAGGAGUUUGAGUUCUAAGCGUAGGUGCAGGGAAUCAUCUCUGGAUGUAGAUAGUGAAUCAGAUGAGGAUGUGAGAGAGAAUGGGAAUUAAACUGAAUCAGAUUCUGGAGAGGACCGAAGACGCAGAAAGAAGUCAUGGAAAAGCAGCAGCAGUAGCGAAGGAAGUGCAGCAAGAGAAGUGCAGAAGAAGUCGGAAGAGGAAGAAUAGGUACAGUGAUUCAAAUGAUAGCGAGAGUGAAGGAUCUGAAUACGAGUCUAAGAAGCGGAAACGCGGUUCAGGGUCUAAACGCAGCAAGAAAAAGAGGUCGGAAAGGGAGGGUGCCAGUUCAUGCUCGGAUAAGAGUUCAGGUUCUAAAAUAGAUGCAAAGGGAAAAUCAAAGGCUGAUGAGAUGGUGGCUGAAAUUAAUGAUGAGGCGCGGAAGAAACCUGUUUUGGAUAAUGAACCUAUGGUUGGGCCAAUGCCCCUGCCUAGAGCCAAGGGGCAUAUAAAUUAUGGUGGUG
rnacentral:misc_RNA from 1 species